ensembl:lncRNA
UAGCUCACAGCAGGGGGGAGCCGGCUGGUUGGAUGAAGAUAACGCAACAUGUCCAGGCAUUGCACGGAAUAGUACCCAAGAUGCGCAGCUGAGCUAAGUCACGUACAGGGCUAAUUUCAACUGUAAAAUUACAGUGUCAUCAUCAGUAUUCUUAUAUAGUAAAAGUCAUUAGAGUAUGGUCGUGAAUAAAAUGUAACUCUACUUCAUAAAUAGGCUGUAUGAUCCUUUUACUUUAGUCUCACAGUGAGAGGAUUUUUUAAAUAUCGAUUGAUGCAAUAGUUUAUCAUGGUGCGACGGGGGAUUCUACAGAUUGGCCUGAUUCUUGCGCGUCUACCACUGGCAACUUCUCUUUAAAUGCUUUUCUGUUUCCUUCCUUUUUAUACCCAGCCCGAAUGUUCCAGAAUAUACAUCCUGAAGAAGUGUACGUGUAUGUUUGUGUGUCUGUGUGUGUGUUAGUGUGUGUGUGUGUGUGUGUGUGUGUGUGUGUGUGUGUGUGUGUGUGUGUGUGUGUGUGUGUGUGUGUGUGUGUGUGUGUUUGUGUGCCCGUUUGUGCAUAUUUGUGUGUGUGUGUGUGUGUGUGUGUGCGUGCCUGUGUUUUAAUUCCAAGUCUAGCCACAGGCAGCCCGUGGGGCCUUCCUGACUCACAGGCAACGACCUGCUGGCGCAAUGCCUGCAAAUUUUUGUCUUCGUCAAUUUGAAGCUCAAUCUCAUUUGGAAGGAGGCUCAGUCUGGCCUGUGAUAUUUGUUUCUCUUUGUUGUUGUUUUGUUUAUUUUGUGCACAGACGAUUGUAUACAAAUUAUUCAUGGUUAAAAUAAACUAUUUGGACAUUGUGUUUUAAAGUUGACCAUUAAUUGCUGUUUGUUUCUUUUUGUUCUGACUUAAAAGGUAUCUUAAAGGUAUCUUAAAAGAUAAACGAUUAUUAUUCUUAGGUGACACACACUACUGAAAACGUACUUACAAAUAUUAUAAACCUUUUCUGCCGCUAGAUCCUCCGCACUGGACCUCGUAGUGCAAGUUACUUUAACAAAGAAAAUAUGUUUACUAUUUGGCAGGACGAGUAGAAUGGAAGUC